rnacentral:rRNA from 1 species
CCUACGGGGGGCAGCAGUGGGGAAUAUUGCACAAUGGGGGAAACCCUGAUGCAGCGACGCCGCGUGAGUGAAGAAGUAUUUCGGUAUGUAAAGCUCUAUCAGCAGGGAAGAAGAAAGACGGUACCUGUCUAAGAAGCACCGGCUAACUACGUGCCAGCAGCAGCGGCAAUACGUAUGGGGCAAGCGUUAUCCGGAUUUACGGGGUGUAAAGGGAGCGUAGACGGCUGUGCAAGUCUGAAGUGAAAGCCCAGGGCUCAACCCUGGGACUGCUUUGGAAACUGUGGAGCUAGAGUGCUGGAGAGGUAAGUGGAAUUCCUAGUGUAGCGGUGAAAUGCGUAGAUAUUAGGAGGAACACCAGUGGCGAAGGCGACUUACUGGACAGUAACUGACGUUGAGGCUCGAAAGCGUGGGGAGCAAACAGGAUUAGAUACCCUGGUAGUC